rnacentral:rRNA from 1 species
AUGUGGAGCCGUAGCGAAAGCGAGUCUGAAUAGGGCGUUGAGUAUUUGGUCGUAGACCCGAAACCAGGUGAUCUACCCAUGGUCAGGUUGAAGUUCAGGUAACACUGAAUGGAGGACCGAACCGACUUACGUUGAAAAGUGAGCGGAUGAACUGUGGGUAGCGGAGAAAUUCCAAUCGAACUUGGAGAUAGCUGGUUCUCUCCGAAAUAGCUUUAGGGCUAGCCUCAAGUGAUGAUUAUUGGAGGUAGAGCACUGUUUGGACGAGGGGCCCCUCUCGGGUUACCGAAUUCAGACAAACUCCGAAUGCCAAUUAAUUUAACUUGGGAGUCAGAACAUGGGUGAUAAGGUCCGUGUUCGAAAGGGAAACAGCCCAGACCACCAGCUAAGGUCCCAAAAUAUAUGUUAAGUGGAAAAGGAUGUGGCGUUGCCCAGACAACUAGGAUGUUGGCUUAGAAGCAGCCAUCAUUUAAAGAGUGCGUAAUAGCUCACUAGUCGAGUGACACUGCGCCGAAAAUGUACCGGGGCUAAACAUAUUACCGAAGCUGUGGAUUGUCCGUAGGACAAUGGUAGGAGAGCGUUCUAAGGGCGUUGAAGCAUGAUCGCAAGGACAUGUGGAGCGCUUAGAAGUGAGAAUGCCGGUGUGAGUAGCGAAAGACGGGUGAGAAUCCCGUCCACCGAUUGACUAAGGUUUCCAGAGGAAGGCUCGUCCGCUCUGGGUUAGUCGGGUCCUAAGCUGAGGCCGACAGGCGUAGGCGAUGGAUAACAGGUUGAUAUUCCUGUACCACCUAGCAUCGUUUUAAUCGAUGGGGGGACGCAGUAGGAUAGGCGAAGCGUACGAUUGGAUUGUACGUCUAAGCAGUGAGAUUGAGUGUUAGGCAAAUCCGGCACUCUUAAGAUUGAGCUGUGAUGGGGAGAGGAAAUUGUUUCCUCGAGUCGUUGAUUUCACACUGCCGAGAAAAGCCUCUAGAUAGAUAAUAGGUGCCCGUACC